ensembl:snoRNA predicted gene, 22957
UCAUGAGGAUGCAUUCAUGAGAGAACAAUGUGCUGUGCUUCAUAGUGUUUCAUGCCAGAGAAAAUCGGCCUUGUAUGGCCUUUAUGGUUGUAGUUUGUUGGCACUAAAUUAGUUUGCAUGGUG